UGGGAUUAGAUACCCCACUAUGCUUAGCCGUAAAAAAAUUUACUAAAUAAACGCCAGGAUAUUACAAGCCAUGCUUUAAAUCCAAAGGACUUGACGGUGUCCCAUCCCCCUAGAGGAGCCUGUCCUACAAUCGAUUAUACCCGCUAGACCUAACCAUUUCUUGCUAUCAGCCUGUAUACUUCCGUCGUAAGUUUACCAUAUGAAAGAUCAGUGGGCCUAAUGUUUCAUUAACCAAUACGUCAGGUCAAGGUGCAGCCUAUGAAAUGGGAGUGAUGGGCUACAAUUUCUAAACUAGAACACACGAAAACCUGCAUGAAAACUCAGAAAUGAAGGUGGAUUUAGUAGUAAAAAGAAAAUAGAGCGUUCUUUUUAAUAAGGUGCUGGGACAAGUACACACCGCCC
rnacentral:rRNA from 1 species